CGGGACACAUGUCGCCCGCCCA
rnacentral:siRNA from 1 species